GCCGCUGGGCCCCCGACACGCGGUUCUUGCACAGACUCUUUUCCGCGCUGCCGGAGGCGGCGGCGGUAGCUGCGGCCAAUCGGCCAAAAAGGAUGAGAGGCCGACAGGGGAGGAGGAAGGCGGCUCCCGCGCCGCGUUACCUGAUCAGAGCGGCGACCCUCAUGCUGGGCGCAGUGCGCGUGCGUGCGUGCGUCGGGCGCGGGCGGGAGCCGGGAAGUCGCCGCCGCCGCCGCAGGCCGUGACACGCGGCCGGGCCUGGUGCGGGUGUUCGCCUCGCCGCCUGUCACCGGCUGGGCGUUACGACCGCUGCGGCUGCCUUGUGGAACACCUGUCCACGGAGGAGGCGCCACGUCGGCUCCUUGUCCCUGUGACGGGGACCUCCCGGCUCAGAAAUGAUGUUUAGGCACGGCCUGACCACCUAAGUGAGGGCACUGAAGCCGCCAGGGGAAGGGCAGCAUCCGCGUCGCCGAGCCCAAGGGCGGUGGCCGUGGAUUUGUUUCGGCAGGAGAACGUUCAAAAUCACGUAUGCUGCAAAUUGAAACAUUUGUGAACAUGCGAAGGGAGAGGAAGUUUGCCCUUACAUCCUCAGCCACCUGCAAGAAACUAACUGCACCCUUUAGUGUUUUUAAACCUCAAUCUCCUUUGUAUUAUAAAUCUAAAUCUGGAACUAGCCCCGUGAACUCGAAGCUCCCUGGGGUUUGGCCCUUUGCGUAAAUACAGCAGCCUAGAAGCUGGCUAAGGCUCCUCACGAAAGAGGCUGGGCCUUGCAGAAGCAUUCACUAAGUUAGCAAAGAUUCAAAGAAGAAAACUGGUGAAGAGACCAAUGUUGGCAAGAAAAAGGGGAAAGGAACAGUCUCAUGCUUGGCUGCUGGAGAAAUAAGAAAAGUGAGACAUAGAGUGGGUCAGAAAUUUGCCCUAGUCCCUGAACGCAAAAGUGGAAGAGCUGAGAUUCAAACCCAGAGGAUGGUCCACCUUCAGCUUCUAUGACGUAUUCAGAGGCGAAAUAGAUAUCAUGAAUAAAUGGAGCUCAGCAGAAAAACAGCAG